rnacentral:rRNA from 1 species
CCUUACCAACCCUUGACAUCCUAGGACCACCCGAGAGAUCGGGCUUUCACUUCGGUGACCUAGUGACAGGUGCUGCAUGGCUGUCGUCAGCUCGUGUCGUGAGAUGUUCGGUUAAGUCCGGCAACGAGCGCAACCCACAUCCUUAGUUGCCAGCAGUUCGGCUGGGCACUCUAGGGAAACUGCCCGUGAUAAGCGGGAGGAAGGUGUGGAUGACGUCAAGUCCUCAUGGCCCUUACGGGUUGGGCUACACACGUGCUACAAUGGCAUCAACAAUGGGUUAAUCCCUAAAAGAUGUCUCAGUUCGGAUUGGGGUCUGCAACUCGACCCCAUGAAGUCGGAAUCGCUAGUAAUCGCGUAACAGCAUGACGCGGUGAAUACGUUCCC